rnacentral:rRNA from 1 species
GAUGAACGCUUGCGGGAGGCCUAACACAUGCAAGCCGAGCGGUAUUGUUUCUUCUGAAAUGAGAGAGCGGCGUACGGGUGCGGAACACGUGUGCAACCUGCCUUUAUCUGGGGGAUAGCCUUUCGAAAGGAAGAUUAAUACUCCAUAACAUAUUGAUUGGCAUCAAUUAAUAUUGAAAGCUCCGGCGGAUAGAGAUGGGCACGCGCAAGAUUAUCUAGUUGGUGAGGUAACGGCUCACCAAGGCGAUGAUCUUUAGGGGGCCUGAGAGGGUGAUCCCCCACACUGGUACUGAGACACGGACCAGACUCCUACGGGAGGCAACAGUGAGGAAUAUUGGUCAAUGGGUGCAAGCCUGAACCAACCAUCCCGCGUGAAGGACGACUGCCCUAUGGGUUGUAAACUUCUUUUGUAUAGGGAUAAACCUACCCUCGUGAGGGUAGCUGAAGGUACUAUACGAAUAAGCACCGGCUAACUCCGUGCCAGCAUCCGCGGUAAUACGGAGGGUGCAAGCGUUAUCCGGAUUUAUUGGGUUUAAAGGGUCCGUAGGCGGACUUAUAAGUCAGUGGUGAAAGCCUGUCGCUUAACGAUACAACUGCCAUUGAUACUGUAAGUCUUGAGUAUAUUUGAGGUAGCUGGAAUAAGUAGUGUAGCGGUGAAAUGCAUAGAUAUUACUUAGAACACCAAUUGCGAAGGCAGGUUACCAAGAUAUAACUGACGCUGAGGGACGAAAGCGUGGGGAGCGAACAGGAUUAGAUACCCUGGUAGUCCACGCCGUAAACGAUGCUAACUCGUUUUUGGGCUUUAGGGUUCAGAGACCAAGCGAAAGUGAUAAGUUAGCCACCUGGGGAGUACGCUCGCAAGAGUGAAACUCAAAGGAAUUGACGGGGGCCCGCACAAGCGGUGGAUUAUGUGGUUUAACUCGAUGAUACGCGAGGAACCUUACCAAGACUUAAAUGGGAAUUGACAGCUUUAGAAAUAGAGCUUUCUUCGGACAAUUUUCAAGGUGCUGCAUAGUUGUCGUCAGCUCGUGCCGUGAGGUGUUAGGUUAAGUCCUGCAACGAGCGCAACCCCUGUCACUAGUUGCCAUCAUUCAGUUGGGGACUCUAGUGAGACUGCCUACGCAAGUAGAGAGGAAGGUGGGGAUGACGUCAAAUCAUCACGGCCCUUACGUCUUGGGUCACACACGUAAUACAAUGGCCGGUACAGAGGGCAGCUACACAGCGAUGUGAUGCAAAUCUCGAAAGCCGGUCUCAGUUCGGAUUGGAGUCUGCAACUCGACUCUAUGAAGCUGGAAUCGCUAGUAAUCGCGCAUCAGCCAUGGCGCGGUGAAUACGUUCCCGGGCCU